ensembl:lncRNA
CUUCUUUUGUGUCAUGAAAGACUUUUUUUUCUCAUAAGCUCAUAACACGUAGAUGUAUGUUCUUUACUACAAAAUCACUAGGAGUAUCUAUGGUGUGGAUGGGGCUGUCUUUAUUCUAAUGAAGUCCUACUAAAUUUAUCUGUCUUUUAAAAUUUGUCGCCCUUGCAUGGUCGAGUAAAAGAUAAACCAUGAUAAAACAAAACACUGCAAAACCAUCUAAAUUUCUUACCUAAGCCAUAUUAAUGUGUGUGUGUCUUUCCGUGCAUUAUAGAAGUAGAAGAGCAUGUGUGAAAUUUGGGUUCUCAAGCUAAUAAAAUAUGAAUGACACUUUGGUAUUGUUUUGAGUAGCUGCCCAAGCAUUUUAAUAGAAAAUCUGUGAAAAAAAUAAUAAAAAACUGAUAAAGCAGACCACCAUGUAAUGCAAAUAGAUGACAAGCUAUAUUUGUGUGUUUCACUGUGGAAUUAUGUUAAAUUAGUGUGAAAUGAGAAUCCAGUGAGUCAGGCCUUUGCUACAAAAAAAAAAAAACAGAGACAAAUGUAUGAAGGGCCCUUUAUAACUUUAGAAGCAAAUGGUGCCCAGGACAAAAUGGAGGUUAAGUAUCCUCGACAGGUAUGGCCUCAUGAGCAAUUUAUUCAGGCUUGGUGGUUCAGGAGAAAACCCGAUUAACCAGCAGGUUGUCCUCCAGCCUCAUAAUUAUGGAGACACCCCAUUUCCAGCAGGCAGUAGAGAGGGAAGUCCAUUUUGAAUAUGCACUGCAUCACUCAGUAACUUAUUACAUUCAACUGUGUGUAAUAUAUAUGUUUAACUGGAAUUGGAAAUAGUAUUUGGUGUAUGAAUAAAGAUAUUCAGACUGAGAGACAGCUUCUUCCACCAGGCCAUCAGACUGCUGAACACGUCAUAGACACCUCAGCUUCACUACUGGAACUUUAACAUUAUGCACUCCAUACUGUACAGUAAUGCCACUGUUUUGCACAUGUCUCAACUCUGUAUAUUUUUAUAUAUUUUAUUUAUUGUUUACUCUAUUUAAUUUGUAAAAUAUGU